AUUGAACGCUAGCGGGAUGCUUUACACAUGCAAGUCGAACGGCAGCGCGGACUUCGGUCUGGCGGCGAGUGGCGAACGGGUGAGUAAUGUAUCGGAACGUGCCCAGUAGCGGGGGAUAACUACGCGAAAGCGUAGCUAAUACCGCAUACGCCCUACGGUGGAAAGCAGGGGAUCGUAAGACCUUGACCUUUUGGAUGGCCCGGUUUUGGAUUAGCUAGUUGGUGAGGUAACGGCUUACCAAGGCGACGAUCCGUAGCAGGUUUGAGAGGACGACCAGCCACACUGGAACUGAGACACGGCCCAGACUCCUACGGGAGGCAGCAGUGGGGAAUUUUGGACAAUGGGGGCAAGCCUGAUCCAGCCAUCCCGCGUGUGCGAUGAAGGCCUUCGGGUUGUAAAGCACUUUUGGCAGGAAAGAAACGUCGCGGGCUAAUACCCCGUGGAACUGACGGUACCUGCAGAAUAAGCACCGGCUAACUACGUG
rnacentral:rRNA from 1 species